UUUACAAUCAAACCUAACUCCCCGCCCCCAAUUCCUCUACUGAACAGUUGGAAAUCGUUUCCGCCACCUAGCACUACUUCAUCACCACUCGCCGCCACGUUGACCACCAUUGACAAUCACCGAAAAUCGCCCCACGACGGCGGAUCACCUCCAAACGGCCCAAAUUAUUCACCAUAUAAUACUCACCCCUUCCUCAUCCCUAAUCCAUCAACCAUUUUCUCAAAAACCUAUCCAAACUCCACGAUUAGUGGAUCUGAAAAAUUCAAGAACAUCAAAACUUCCCCUUUUAUAUUUCUGGACCGAUUCGGUAACUUGUGAGGUUGAAUCGUACAUCAAUCGAAGGCUAUUGUCAAGAGCUAUCAGUUGGUGUGAGGUUUGAUUCAUUUAUCGGUCGUCGGAGGUCGGUCAACUCGUCUUUAACUGGCCAGAACACUCACAACUCUCCAUUAUUCUCUUUCGGUCAAAACUUCAAACCCUUAGAGGUUUCUGACCAAUGAAGUACUUAUUCGACCAAAUGGUUGAACAAGUAUUCAUUGGUCAUAAAACCUUGAUCGAUUUUUAAGCGACAGAUUUUGGGAGCCCAGAUUCUUUCCAUAAUUUUAAUUUUCGUGCUGACGAUUGGUUUCCUUUUGGUAAUUUCAUUCUUAUGCCUUUUUAGUUUACCUGCUUGUUUUAUUUUGUUUGUCUUUUAUCUCCAGUUCAAAUGAAUGAAUUACAUGAUAGUUAAAUUUAUUAACAUGGGUCUUAGGUUUGUUUAGUUGUUAAUUCUAAUUGUUCUUUUUAGUUCAUCAAAAUAGGAUACGAAAUUGGUCAUUUUUCUAAUUGGUGAUCUGUUUGACGUAGCUUCAACGUGAUUGAGCAUGUUAUGCUGGUAAGUAGGCCCAAUCGGUAGAAUUGCAGUAGGAAUAUGGGUAAUAGGCAUGUUUGUUGAAAACCCAGCAUUUCAAUGCUAUAAAUUGUAAUAAUAAGGUGUUAAAAAAGGUAAUUGGGAAAUAGAACCAAUAGAAUCUUUGUCACGACCCAACCUGUUAUUUUGUAUAUUAUAGCCCCGUUUCCCUAUUUAUUUCCUCUUUGAUAUUUAUUUAUGGUUAUGUGACUUGUUGGGGUAGUUGGAUUGGUUUCAGAAAUAUUUUGGGGUGAAUUGUGACACUUAGUAUCAAAGUUAGAAGCUUAAGUUGGAAGAGCUAACCGGAGUUUAACUUUUGUGUAGACGACUCCGAAAUAGAUUUUUGAUGAUUUCGAUAACUUUGUACGAUUAUUUUGGACUUAGGCGUAUGUCCGGAUGUUGAUCUGGAGGUCCGUAGGUUGGUUUGAGGAUUUUUGGCAAAAUUUGGAAAGUUGAAGGUUUGGAAGGUAGAGAGGUUUGACCAAAAGUUGACUUUGUUGAUAUCGGGUUUGGAUUUUAGUUCUGGGAGUUGGAGUAGGUCCUAUGUGUCAUUUGGGACUACUGUGCAAAAGUUGAGGUCAUUCAGAGUUUAUUUGGUAUGGUUCGUCAUUAGUUUUAGAAGUUGGAAGUUUAUUAGUUUCAUUAGGUUUGAAUUGGUGUGCGGUUCGUGAUUUUGGUGUUGUUGGAUGUGAUUUGAGGUUUCGAGUGAGUCUGUAAUGUGUUUUAGAACUUGUUGGCAUAUUUGGAUGGGAUCCCGGGGGCCUCGGGUGUGAUUCGGGUAGUUGACGGAUCCUUUUGGACCUUAAUGAAAUGCUGAAGCAGGGAAGUUCUGGUGCAAUCGCACCUGCGAAGGAGUUUCCGCAGGUGCGACGCUGCAGGAGCAGCCAUUUGGUCGGAGCUGUAUGUUUGGCUGGGGCCGGUGAAGGUCGCAGAUGCGAAGGGUUGACCAUAUUUGCGAGCUCGCAGAUGCGAAUAAGGGAUCGUAGAAGCGAAAAAGGGCAGUCAAGCCUAGGACUGCAGAUGCAGAGACUUUCCGCAAGCGACGAUGCAGAAUUUAAGUGAAGUGCACAAAUGCACAAUUUUGACGGUAGAAGCAGAUACUUGGACCGCAGGUGCGAAUUCUACGGCAGGUUGUUAUGUUCGAAGGGUUAGAGUAUUUUCUCAUUUUGGGAGAUUUGGAACUCGGCUAAGGGCGAGUUUUGAGAGGGGUUUUGCUACAAUUGGAGAGGUGAGUGAAGUUUAAUCACUUUUGUUGAUAAAUAUUGAUUACCCAUUGAUUAUUAUACCUAGUUUAUGUGAAUUUGAAUUGAAAUUUUGGGAUUUUAGACCAUAGCAUUGGAGAAUGAGAUUUUGUUAUUUGAGGGUCGAAUUGUGGAUGGAAUUGGAUGAAAUUAGUAUGGUUUACUCGUAAUUGAAUGGGUGUUCGGAAUUUGUGAAUUUUGCAAGGUUUUGGGGUGCGAGCUCGGAGUUGACUUUUUGUGUUGACUGUUGAAUUUUUUAUUUUUGUUAAAGACCUUAGCUUUAUCAUUUGGAAUCCAUUCCAAUAGUUUUUAUUUAUUGUAUUAAGUUAUUUUGGCUAGAUUUGAGCCGUUCAGAGAUUGAUUUGCGCGGAAUGGGCUUAUUAGUGGAUUGAUUUUGCUCGUUAGAGGUACGUAUCUUGUUUAAUUUUGUAUGGGGGAAACUACCCCUUAGGAUUUGGGUUGGAUGUGUUAUUUGAAUUAUGUGAAAAACGUGUACAUGAGGUGACGAGUGUGUACACAGUCUUAUAUAUGGUAUUUUGACUAGUUUAGACUCUUUUGUUGCUUCCAUGCAUUUAAUUGAAAUUGUCUUAACAUGUUAUAUCUUUCAUUGUUAAAUUUAUUUUCACAUGCUCUAAUUGACGUUGUUAGUACAUGUUCUAUCAUUUAUUUUUAAGUUUGCUAUUAUAUGCUUUAGUUGAAAUUGAUACCUCUCUUAUUGCCUUGUUACUUCGUUAUUGUUGAAUUAUUCUUAUUGGAAGUUGUCAUUUCGUGGGGAUACCUUCAUUUUGAGUUAUUGAAGUUGAAGUUGUGAAAGCUAUUAAUGCAUUGAGGUUGAAGUUGUUAAUUAUUAAGAUAUCCUUCCUCGUUUAGUAUUUAUCAUUCAUUUUGUUAUUAUUGAGAUUCUUGCUCACAUUGUGAUUGAGCCGUAGGCUAUAUUACGGUAAUAUUUGUAUUAUUGAUUUUGGUGAGUGUUGUGGCAUACGCAUGCAGUGGUAUAAUGAUAGGUUUGAUACGCAUGUGGUGAGAUAAGGUGGGAUUUAUACACAUGUUGCUAGUAAGGGAAUUACUUGAAGCCAUACGGUGAGAUAAUUGGGUUAGAAUGCAUGUAGCUAUUUCGAAAAAAAUAUUUUCAAAAUAAAUGUAAGGCUCACGCGGUGAUAUAAGGGAGAUGGUGAUUGUGACUUGUGAAAUGAGAUUGUGAGGCAUGGUACCUCGGUUGUGAUUCUUGAUGUAUAUUUUAUGAUAAAAUGUGUUAUUGGUAGAACAAUUUUUAUUAUCUCUUCAUUUUUCUUACUUGUAAUUGUCCGUAUUUGAUUACUUGUUGUUCAUAUCAUGUGUUCACUUUUUGUUUCCUUUAUUGCCUUAAAUUCUGUUACUAUCCUACAUUAGUAUACUGCUUUGUUGUCAUUCAUCUCCUAGUUUUUCCGUCAUUAGAAUAUAUUAUAUUUUUUUUCAGUUUUCUUGUCCUAGUAGGUGUCUUGACCCGACCUCGUCACUACUCUACCGAGGUUAGGCUUGAUACUUACUAGUUACUGUUGUGUUUUACUCAUGUUACGCUUCUACACAUUGUUAUGUAGAUCCAGGUACAUCCGCUUGUGCCGGACGCUAGUGAUAGACCAGCUAUUUCUCGAGACUUCAAGGUACACUUGAUCGACAUUCGUAGGCCUCGAAGUCACCUUCUAUUUUUAGUUGUAUUACUGUUUAAUUCCUGUUCAAAAGAGUAUUGUAUUUAUAGAUUAUUAGUGCACUCUCUAUAGAUCUUAUGACUUAGUUCCACCGAGUUUUGGGAGUUUCUUGAUAGAUGUAUUGUUUGAGUUUUAUUACAAUAGUUUAACAAUUUAAAUUGUUAUCUAAGUUGUUACUUCUGUUAAUUAUGUAUGUAUGUUAGGCUUAUCUAUUCUAAGAGACUAGCUGCCAUCACAACAUCCUAAGGUGGGAAUAUGGGAACAUGACAUUUUGGUAUCAAAGCACCAGGUUCAUAGGUAUUACGAUUCAGAAGUAAGGUUAGUUGAGUCUUGCAGAUCGGUACAGAGAUGUUUGUACUUAUCUUCGAGAGAAUACAGAACCAUUAGGAAAAUUCACUUCUUUGAUUCCUUAUCAUGCGAACUUGUUGAUUUCAAAAUUUGAGUCUUUGUCUUUCGAUUCUCUCACUGAUGGUGAGGACACACAUUGUUGGAUCAAAUUAUCAGAUAUUCGCGCCCCUUGCUAUAGCUGUGCGAGGCCGGACGCCGAGGUAGAGGCCGAGGAGGGGCACAUGCUACAGCUAGAGCACUUGUCUGAGCAGUGACUGAGGAGCCACCUAUAGCUCAACUUGGGGGGACAGGCACCUGAGGAGCCUGUUGUCACCUCUGGACAUCAGGAGACCCUAGUACACUUUUGAGCAUGUUUAGUACUCUAGCCCAGGUGGGAUUGAUCCCGGUUGCUCCAGCUACAUCUCAGGCUGGAGGAGAAGCUCAGACUACUGUGUUUGACUAGGUUUGGCGUGUCAUGCCAGCACAACUAGUUAUUCCGGUUCAGUUUGAGGUCAGGGCAACGACAUCUAAGGAGAAGCAUAGGAGACUCGAGAGGUUCAAGAAGUAUGAUCCUCCUACUUUUAGUGGCACAACUAUGAUCCUCCUACUUUUAGUGGCACAACUACCGAGGAUGUGCAAGAUUUUCUAGAGAAGUGCCGCCGAAUUCUCUGCACCAUAGGUAUUGUGUAGGUGUGCGGAGUUGCUUUUACUAAAUUUCAACUGUUAGGCGCAACGUAUGGGUGGUGGAAGGCUUACGAAGGGGGUAGGCAAGUGGAUGUAGCCCCACUCACUUGGGCUCAGUUUUCUGAGAUAUUCUUGAUGAAGUUUGUUCCUCUAACCCUUCGGGAUGCAUGGAACACAGAGUUUGAGCAGUUGUGUAAGGGAAAUAUGUUUGUGGCAGAUUAUGCUAUCAAAUUCAAUAAGUUGUCUCGACAUGCACCUGCCUUAGUUUCUACAUUCAAAGAGAGAGUUUUCAGAUUUAUCGAGGGGCUUAGUUAUGGUUUUAGAUUUGUCAUGGCAUGAGAGUUGGAGAUAGAUACUCCAUGUCAGCAGGUUGUAGAAAUUUCCUGGAGUAUAGAGGUAUGUGGGGCUAAGAGAGGGAGCAUAGGGAGGCCAAGAGGCCUUGAGAUUCUGGAAGAUAUAGCGGUGGUCGUGCCCCGAUUGCAGCCCAUCAUGGAAAAGGCUAUGUGAGAUGCCCAGUUCAUUCUGCACCUCCAACUACUAGCAGUGCCUCGGCUAUUCAGAGGUCUCAAGCUGUCUCUUAUGCACAAGCCCUUUCCAGUACACUUCCUACGCGGGGUGCCUUCAACGGUCAGUCCAGCCGACCAGGUCAGAGUCAGUCUUAGCAGCCACGCCCACCGAGAGCUUGUUUCGAGUGUGGUGAUUUCAGACAUAUGGUGAGGGACUGCCUUAGACUUAGGAGGGGUGCACCUCCAUAGACUAUAGAGUCUCCACAGAUUCCACCGGGUCCACAGGCCAUGGUUACUGCUCCAGUUGCCGUUCCACAUGCGCCGCCAGCUAGGGUGUAGGUCAGGCAGGUAAAGGUCGCCCUAGAAGAGGAGGCCAUGCUUGAUUCUAUGCUUUUCCUGGUAGGUCGGGGGAGGUUGAAUCGGAUGUUGUCAUCACAGGUAUUGUUCUGGUCUGUCAUGGGAAUACAUUAGUUUUAUUUGAUAUGGGUUCCACUUACUCAUAUGUGUCAUCCUACUUUACUCCGUAUUUGGAUAUAUCCCGUGAUUCUUUGAGAGCUCAUGUAUAUGUUUCCACACCUAUGGGAUAUUCUAUUAUUGUAGAUAGUGUCUAUCGAUCGUGUUUAGUCACUGUUAGUUGUUAUGAGACCAGAGUUGAUCUAUUGUUUCUCGGUAUGGUAGACUUUGAAGUGAUCUUUUGUCGCGGUUGGAGUGGAGGGGUACAUUAGAUUAUAUUCCUAGAAGGGUUGUGUCCUUUCUUAAGGCACAACGAAUGGUUGCGAAGGGGCGUGAUGCAUAAUUAGCCUUUGUGAUGGAUGUCAGUGCUGAUACUCCUACAAUUGAGUCAUUUUCGGUAGUGAGAGAUUUCCCAGAUGUGUUCCCAGCAGACCAACCUGGCAUGCCGCCCGAUAGGGAUAUGAAUUGUGGUAUUGAUUUGGUGCCUGACACUUAGACCAUUUCUAUUCCACCAUAUUGUAUGGCACCAGUGGUGUUGAAGGAGUUAAAGGAACAACUUCAGGAGUUGCUCGAUAAGUGUUUCAUCUGGAUGAGUGUUUCACCUUGGGGUGCUCCGAUUUGUUUUGUGAAGAAGAAGGAUGGUUUUAUGCGGAUAGGUAUUGAUUAUACGCAGUUGGACAAAGUUAUAGUCAAGUACAAGUACCCACUACCCUGCAUUGAUGACUUAUUUGCCCAGCUUCAGGGUGCUAGAUUAUUCUCGAAGAUUGAUUUGAGGCCAGGGUAUCACCAGCUAAAGAUUCAAGAUCCGGAUAUCAGGAAGACUACUUUUAGGACUAUGUAUGGUCACUACGAGUUUCUAGUGAUAUCAUUUGGGCUAACCAACACCCCGGUAACAUUUAUUCACUUAAUGAUUGGUGUAUUCCAGCCAUAUCUUGAUUCAUUCGUCAUCGUGUUCAUUGGCAUCAUUUUGGUAAUUUCUCGUAGCCGGGAGGAUCAUGAGAAUCAGUUGAGGAUAGUGCUCCAGACCUUGAGGGAGAAGAAGUUAUAUGCAACAUUCUACAAGUGUGAAUUCUAACUUGAUUCGAUGGUGUUUUGGGGUCACGUGGUGUAUAAUGAGAGGAUUAAGGUAGAUCCAAAUAAGGUGGAGGCAGUUGAGAGUUGGCCUACACUGUCUUCUGCUACUGAGAUCCGGAGUUUUCUAGGCUUGGCUGGUUAUAAUCGCCAUUUGUAGAGGGGUUUUCAUCCUUCACAACUUCUUUGACCAGGUUGACUCAGAAGGGUGCUCCAUUCACGUGGUCCGACGAGUGUGAAGAGAGCUUUCAGAAUCUUAACACAUGCACAAAUACCAGUUCUAGUUUUGCCGUCAGCAUCAAGUUCAUAUACAAUUUAUUAUGAUGCUUCGUGGAUUCACAUCGAGUGAGUCUUGAUGCAGAAAGGUGGGGUGAUUGCUUAUGCUUAUGUCUUGAUACAAUCUACCUCAUUCAUGAUUUAGAGUUGGCAACUAUUGUUCAUGCAUUGAAGAUUUGGAGGCACUAUCUCAACGGUGUGCCCUGUGAGGUAUUCACAGAUCAUUGAAGUUUACAACAUUUGUUUAGGUAAAAGGAUCUAAACUUGAGGCAGUAGAGGUGGCUAGAGCUGUUAAAAGACUAUGAUAUCACCAUUUUGUAUCAUCUAGGAAGGUUAAUUUGGUAGUUGAUGCCUUAAGUAGAAAGGAUGAGAGUAUAGGUAGCCUUGCGUAUAUUCCUGUGGUUGAGAGACUGCUAGCAUUGGACGUUCAAGCUUUGGCCAAUCAAUUUGUGAGGUUAGAUGUUUCAGAGCCUAGCCAGGUUCUUACUUGCGUGGUUUCUCGGUCUUCUUUGUAUGAGCACAUCAGAGCGCGUGAGUAUGGCUACCCCAAUUUGCUUGUCCUUAAGGAUACGAUACAACAUGUUGAUGCCAAGGAGGUUUCUAUUAGAGAUGAUGGGGUGUUUCGAAUGCAUGGUCAGAUAUGUGUGCCCAAUGUGGAUGGGUUGCAUGAGUUGAUCCUUGAGGAAGCCCACAAUUUGCGGUAUUCCAUUCAUACGGGUGCUGCUAAGAUGUAUCAGGAUCUGAGGCAACACUAUUGGUAUAGAAGAAUAAAGAAAGAUAUGGUGGAGUAUCUGGUUCAGUGCUUGAACUGUUAGCACAUGAAGUAGGAGCAUCAGAUACCAGGCGUUUUGCUUUAGAGGAUUAAGAUUACCGAGUGGAAGUUGGAGAGUAAUACCAUAUAUAUCGUUGUUGGGCUCCCACUGACUCUGAAAUAAUUUGACGGAGUGUGGGUUAUUGUGGAUAGGCUAACCAAGUCGGCACAUCUCAUUCCGGUGGUGACUACCUAUUCUUCAGAGCAACUGGCUCAUAUCUAUAUCGCUGAGAUUGUUCGUCUUCAUGGUGUGCCAUGUCCAUUUUCUCCGAUCGAGGCACACAGUUCACCUUACAUUUCUGGAGAGGCGUACAGUGUGAGUUAGGCACACGGGUUGAGUUGAGUAUAGCAUUUUACCUUUAGAUAGACGGGAGGUCCGAGCGCACCAUUAAAAUCAUAGAGGAUAUGCUAUGUGCAUGUGUUAUGGAUUUUGGGGGUUCAUGGGAUCAGUUCUUACCGCUUGUAGAGUUUGCCUACAACAACAUCUCCCAAUCGAGUAUUCAGAUGGCUCCUUAUGAGGCCUUAUAUGGGAGGCAGUGUCAUUUUCCACUUGGUUUGUUUAAGCCGGGAGAGGCUAGGAUGUUAGGCAUUGAUUUGGUUAGGGAUGCCUUGGAGAAAGUCAAGUUAAUUCAGGAUCGGCUUCGUACAACACAGUCUAGACAAAAGACUUAUGCUGAUCGGAGGGCUCAUGAGGUAGCAUUUAUGGUGGGAGAGAGGGUUUUGCUUUAGGUUUAACCUAUGAAGGGCGUGAUGAGGUUCGGGAAGAAGGGAAAGUUGAGCCCUAGGUAUAUUGGUCCUUUUGAGAUCCUUGAUAGAGUUGGUGAGGUGGCCUACAGCUUAUCGACAGUUCACCCGGAGUUCCAUGCUACUAUACUCUAGAAGCAUAAUAGGGAUCCAUCACAUGCAUUACAUUUCAGCUCAGUCCAAUUGGACAAGGAUUUGACAUAUGUUUAGGAGCCAAUGGCUAUAUUGGAAAAGGAAGUCCGUAAGUUCAGGUCAAAGAACAUUGCUUCUGUAAAGGUUCAGUGGACAGGUCACUGAUCAAGGAGGCGACUUGGGAGACCGAUCAUGCUAUGUGCAGCCGUUAUCCUCACCAUUUCAGCACUUCAAGUAUGUCUCUAUCCUCGUUCGAGGACGGACAUUUAUUUUACAAGGGAGAGAAUGUAAUGAUCCGGUCGGUCGUUUUGUAUAUUGUAUACAUAUUCCCUUAUUUAUUUCCUCUUCUAUGUUCAUUUGUGGUUAUGUGACUUGACAGGGUGGUUGGAUAAGUUUCGGGGUGAAUUGGGGCACUUAGUCUCAAAGUUAGAAGCAUAAAUUAGAAGAGUUGAUCGGAGUUUUACGUUUGUGUAGACGACUCCAGAAUGGAGUUUUUAUGAUUUCGAUAGCUUCGUAUGGUGAUUUUGGACUUAGGCAUAUGUUCAUAUGUUGAUUUGGAGGUCCGUAGGUUGGUUUGACUCUUUUUGGCGAAAGUUGGAAAGUUGAAGGUUUGGAAGGUUGAGAGGUUUGACCGAGAGUUGACUUUGUUGAUAUCUGGUUUGGGUUUUGGUUUCGGGAGUUGGAGUAGGCCCGUUGUGUCAUUUGAGACUAGUGUGCAUAAUUUGAGGUCAUUCAGAGUUAAUUUGAUAUGGUUCGGCAUUAGUUUUAGAUGUUGGAAGUUUGUUGGUUUCAUUAGGCUUGAAUUGGUGUGCGAUUCGUGAUUUUGGUGUAUUUUGAUGUGAUUUGAGGUUUCGAGCGAGUUCGUAUUAUAUUUUAGGAUUUGUUGGUACGUUUGGAUGGGGUCCCGGGGGCCUCAGGUGUGAUUUGGGUGGUUGACGAAUCUUUUGGACCUUGAAGGAAUGUUGAAGCUGGGAAGUUCUGGUGCUUGCCAAUUGGUCACAUGUUCAUAUUUGGCAGGGGCUGGUGAAGGUCACAGGUGCAAAGGGUCGACCGCAUCUGUGAGCUCGUAGAUGCAGAUAAGGGAACGCAGAAGCGGAAAAGGGCAGUGAGGUCUAGGAUCGCAGAUGCAGAGACUUUCCGCAGGUGCGGGACAUUUAGGUGAGGGUUUUGGACCACAAAAGAGACGGAGAGGAACUUAAGUGAAGUGCUAAGAUGCGCAAUUUUGUCCGCAAAAAUGGUGCUGCAGAAGAGAUACUUGGACCGCAGAUGCAUAAUCUCUUGUAGGUUAUUAUGGUUGAAAGGUUAGUGUGUUUUCUCAUUUUGGGAGAUUUGGAACUCGGCUAAGGGCAAUAUUUGAGAGGGCUUUUGCUACAAUUCGGAGGUAAAUGAAGUUUAAUCACUUUUGUUGAUAUAUAUGGAUUACCGAUUGAUUAUUACACCUAUUGUAUGAGAUUUUGAAGUGAUAUUUUGGGGAUUUUAGACCAUGGCAUUGGAGAGUACAAUUUGGUAAUUUAAGGGUCGAUUUGUGGAUGAAAUUAGUAUGGUUGGAUUCGUAACUGAAUGAGACUCCAUUCUUAUGACUUUUAUUGAUUGUAAUAAGUUAUUUUGGUUAGAAUCCAACCGUUCGAAGGUUGUUUCACAUGGGAAGGUCUUUUUAGAGUAUUAAUAUAGUUUCGUUGAGGUAAGUAUGAUGCCUAACUUUGUGUGGGAUAACUACCCCUUAGGAUUUGGGUUUGUUGUAUCAUUUGAAUUAUGUGAAAGACAUGUACGCGAGGUGACGAGUGUGUAAAUAGGAUUAUAUGUGGUAUUUGACAGGUUAGACUCCUAGGCUUCUUUUAUGCAUUAACCGAAGUCUUCAUAUCAUGUUAUAUCCUCCAUGCUAAGCUUACUCUUACAUGCUUUAUUUGAAGUUGUUAGCACAUGUUCUAACUUUUAUUUGUCAAAAUUUACACUUCUAUGCUUGGUUGAAGUUUUUACCUCUUUUAUUGUCAUGCUACCUCUUUAUUUAUUGAAUUAUUCUUAUUUGAAGUUGGUGUUACAUGAUAUCCCUUCAUUGUCGAGUUAUUCUCAAUUAUUUAGACGUAGUUGCUAUUUCAUGUCAUCUCUUUCAUUGUUAGCUUAUAUUAUACACUAGAAGUUGAAGUUGCCAUUUCAUGAAAAUAUCGUCAGUAUUUAGUUUAUUCUUAAGAAAUUAAUUGACGUUAAAGUUAUUGAGAGCCAUUAACCUGUUUAGUUGAAGUUGUUGUUUAAUGGAGUAUCUUUCAUUAUUGAGUUAUUUUCCCGUUUCCUUUUGUUGCUAUUGACAUUUUUGUACACAUAGUGGUCGAGCCGUGACCUAUAUGUUGUGGUGAUAUCGAUAUUGUUGUUUUGGAAAGUUUGUGUCCUAUGGGCACUUGUGGUACGAAUUGAUAUUUCGUGCUGUUGUGAUGUUAGCACACAUAGAUUUAUUGUGUGGAUUGAUUGUUGUUAUGUAAAGAAUAAGGGUAGAAUCUCAUUGUUGUUCAUUAUGUGGAGUGAUAUGGGUGGCUAUUGUGAUGUUUUGUCUAGGUAGAGUGAUAUGGGUGGCUAUUGUAUUUAUUGUCUUGGCAGACUGAUACGGGUGGCUAUUGCGUUACUAUCUGGGUAGAGUGACACGAGCUCCUAUUGUGUUAAAUGUCUGGGCGGAGUGAUACAAGUAGCUAUUAUGAAAUGAUCAUCACGGAGAGACAAAGGUGGAUAUGUCAGGUAUGAUAUGUGAAGGCCUGAGGGCAUAAUGUUGAUAAUAUUCAUGUAAUGGCAUGAUUUUCCUUGUGUGUGUCAUGCACCUUACGUGACUUGUUGUAUUGUCUCCAAUGAGCUACUCGAUUUCUUUGAUAUUACUUGUUGACUUGGACUGUAAUAAUACACUCAUACAUGCAUACACUGUAGCAUGCCAUUUAUACUAGUUCAGGAGUAUGAAACUUUACAUUCAUUGAUCAUGCAAAUGUAGUCAUGUAUAUUUGCUUUCAUCUUGAUAUUGAGCCUGUGACCACGCCGACUAGAUUGUGAUAUUGAGCCUGUGAUCAUGCCAGGCGAUUGUGAUAUUGGGCCUAUGAACAUGCCGGGGGGAUUGUGAUAGUGAGCCUCUGACCAUGUCGGCCGGAUUGUGAUAGCGAGCCUAUGUCCAUGCUGGGAUGAUUGAGGUAUUGGCACGUGAGUUGUCCAUAUGGUUAUGAUUGAUAAUGUGGGCACAAGGUGCCAUGUGUAUAUGAUUUAGCACUCGUGGCUUGUGGUUUUGAGGAGUGGUACCUCGAGGUGGUUUUGUUGUAAACAUUGUGUUAUAACAUCUUGAUUAUUUGGUUGUCAUGUGUCUACCUUUUUUGGUUUCACUGGUACUUUAACGGUGUUCCGAUUACUUUACUGUUUUUAUUACACAUUUAUUCCAUAUUUCCAUUUACUGAUACUUUCUUUCAUUAUUAGCUUUAUACUUAAAUACUGCACAAGUUAUUAUGUCUAGUAUGUGUCUUGACUUGUACCUAGUUACUACUCCAACGAGGAUAGUCUUGAUUCUUACUGGGUACCUUUAACGACCCAACCGGUUGUCGUGCCCCUUCUUUCUC
rnacentral:lncRNA from 1 species